AUGCCAGAUAGGGAGAAUCUGGAAUACUUAAACCAUGACGAAGCCGCUCAAGCUCACUUUGAGCUGAUGAGUGAAGUGGUCAAGGAUGAAACGGGUGACGACGGUAAUCAGUACACAGCUCUGCAGGUAGACACAGUUACAGCGGCUUUGGAAAAAUAUGAAAAGGACGAAAAACUUCCAGCUGUGCUUUUUUAUCAUCAAGCACACGCUGAGAUAGUUUUAUCUUACGACAAGUGA